rnacentral:rRNA from 1 species
UAAGGAAUAUUGGACAAUGGACGCAAGUCUGAUCCAGCCAUACCGCGUGAAGGAUGACUGCCCUCUGGGUUGUAAACUUCUUUUAUAGGGGAAGAAAGUUAUUUUUUAGGAUAUUUGACGGUACCCUAUGAAUAAGCACCGGCUAACUCCGUGCCAGCAGCCGCGGUAAUACGGAGGGUGCAAGCGUUAUCCGGAUUCACUGGGUUUAAAGGGUGCGUAGGCGGGUAUGUAAGUCAGUGGUGAAAUACCGGAGCUUAACUUCGGAACUGCCAUUGAUACUAUAUAUCUUGAAUAUUGUGGAGGUAAGCGGAAUAUGCCAUGUAGCGGUGAAAUGCUUAGAGAUGACAUAGAACACCGAUUGCGAAGGCAGCUUGCUACGCAAAUAUUGACGCUGAGGCACGAAAGCGUGGGGAUCAAACAGGAUUAGAUACCCUGGUAGUCCACGCCCUAAACGAUGAUUACUCGACAUUAGCGAUACACAGUUAGUGUCUGAGCGAAAGCAUUAAGUAAUCCACCUGGGAAGUACGACCGCAAGGUUGAAACUCAAAGGAAUUGACGGGGUCAUAGCUGUUUCCU